rnacentral:lncRNA from 1 species
CAAUUAUCAGUUUUUCAGCAUGUUCAGUUUUUACCUGUUGUUAGAAUGGAGUGGUGACUUUCAAGCUCCUUCAUGCCAGACUGGAGACCAAAAGACUGAAUGUUGUAUUUUUAAACUGCAAUUUAAAAGAUCAUUUUAUUAAAAGAGAUUUACUUCCUUAGGUUUGAGGCAUCUUUGGAUACUUGGUUUAGGCCAUGGAUACAAACUCUUUUCAGCUAAAUAUGGCAAUCUGCCACAUACUAGCUGGGCCUUGGAAUUCUUGGUCAUGUCACCCAGAAGAUCAUCCAUAGGUGUCGCCUUUAGACCUUCCCUGGCUAUGGAUGAACUUCAUACUCAUAGGUAUUUCAAGCUGGUCUCAGUUUAUAGCAUGCUUUCUGCAACAACAGUUGUAAAGGAAAACAAACACAACCGUCUCUGCUUUGCCGGAUGGAGUCACUAGGGAUAUCCACAUGAGCAUCAGCCAUAUUGGAAGACAGCGGUUACGUGCAUUUCUGUUCUUUGCAAACCCACUGGUGGCUGGCACAGUUCUAAGAGAGAGCACGAUACCGUCUUCAGUGCCCAGGCUUCCAGUUAAGAAAAUAAAUGAGUGUGUAGGGACAGAAGGAUCAGAAGCAGUGGCCAAAGGGAGAGGUAAUGAUGGGAGGCUCCUUUUGGUGGAGAGGACUGAGCAGACAGGGGCAGUUUCCUUCUAUUCUUGCUGCCGAUGAUCAUCCCCAAGGGACUGUUUCAUCGUCGUUGUUGUUUGUUUCCUUGUUGUGUUUUUUUUUUUUUUUUUAGAUCUCUUACUGAAAGUCUCAGUCUGGUGUCUCCUACAGUGACCUAAGAAUUAUAACAGCUGGGAGUAUCCCUAGGGGACCUGAGAUCUGAAGCUAGAUCUUAUUAAAUCAGAGGUUUGGCCUCCUCAGUUACCAUUAUGUCCUUCCUUACCUCCCCUUUGCUCAUUUACUUCCUUACACCUCACUCUAAAUUCCAAUCAAUUACAUACAGAAUCCUGGGCCAUCAUCUAAUUUGAAGUUGGGAUAUACAAAGCUAAGAUGUAAUGAGAAACAGAUGACCCAAUGACUAUGCAAUGAGCAACAUCAGUUAAAAUCUGCAAAAUGGGUUCUUUUUUUUUUUUCUUUUUUACCAAUGGCUUCCUAUAACCCUGACUUCUUGAUUUUGGGUUUGCUGGUGGAAAAAUGAUUCUACUUGGGAUUUAGACAACUAAGAUUCUAAUAGGGGGUCAUAGAAUCAGAGUACAUAGAAGUAUGGCUUUUAAUGUUAUUCCUUAGAACUGGAAGACACCUUGGGCCAUUUAUGUAACAAGAUGCCUUUUAUUUAUCCAUCAUAAGGAAGCUGUCUCUGGAACCACACCUUGUAAUCUAGUAAUGGCGCGGGGGUGGAGGGUGAGAAAGAAAACGAGAGAGCGGUGAUUCAGUUUCCCCAUCUAGUAGAACAGAGACCCAGGCAAUAGAGAGAAUGUCUUGACAGCAUUCGUCAAACAAAAUAAGAGGAAGAAGGAAACAAGGAGAGAUGGAUAUAAUGCCCACCUCGGAACUGUGUUCCUCGCAGAUGAAUCCAACAGUGGACAUGAGCCUUCAGGCAAAGUAGCUACCUUCCUUACCACAUUUCCCGAUAUUUUUAAUAAGUUCAUGGUUGUAUGUAUUUUUACACAUACACAUCCAAAAAGCACUGAAGAAUGAGCAUAUCUGUGUUUGUUGCUGAGGAUACAAAAGCAAACAAGAGACCAUUCCUGCCUUCAAAGAGUUCAAAGUCCAGUCGGGUAAGGAGACCUCUUACUAUUCCAUACUAUGUGAUCACUGCUAUUAUGGCGUUAUGUAAAGGGUAAGUCAAGGAAGUCUAGGGGAAGGAGAGGUAGAGAUGUAAGCAUGGCUUACUAGAAUAUACAACAAAAAAUAAUGCAUCAUUUAAAAUGAGAUCAAUACCUAUAGAACAUCUAGGAAUUAAUCUACCAAGAUUUACUAAAGUCCUUUGUGCAGAAAUUUCCAUAAGCCUAUUAGCAGAUCUAAAAGAAAACCCUGAUAAAUAUUUAUGAAAAGGAGGCCUUACUACUAGAAAGAUUCAAUUGAAAACCACCAAAUUAAUCCAUAAAUUCAGUGACAUUCCAAGCACAAUUCUAGCAGGAUAUCAGGGGCAUAGAGAGAGAGUUUGACAAGCUCAUUUUAAAUUUUAUGUGAAAGGAUAAGGUCUGUGUUACAUCCCACCAGAUAUGAAGAUACACGGUAAUGUCAGAGCAAUAAAUAAAAGAUGUGUUAUUGGCCA